GCUCCUUCCUCGCUCUCAUCUCACGCAUGACCUACCUUCGCCAACCCUAGGUGUGCCGCCGCCACCAUGAUCUUCAUCUCGCAGCCCCUCAACCGCCCCGUCGGAGCGGCGCCUCCGUCUACGCCUAGCCGCCGCUGUUCUCCUUCUCAUGUCUUCCCAAAAGGUGCAGCAGGGAGCAUCUUUUUCUCGAGCCGACGACGAUCUCUAUCCCCAAAUCAGUGGCGCACUACAUCCCUGAAGCACAAGUCCGAUUUUUCAAGCCAUAUCUAGAGUCCUCAGGCGCGCCGUCCCCAGAUCCAGCAUGUCGAGCAACUAGCCGGAGAUCCUUUGUAGAUGUCAACAGAAGGUGUCAAGGUGAUCAGUAUAUUAGAGACUUCAAGUGAUCUGAACCGGAAGUUGUCAAAGUUUAGUACCUGAAUUUGGUUGAUCCGAAUGAGAAUACCAGAUGGUUGAUACGAACCGGAGCGGCUGUUUGUCUAUUCAACGGACGAAAUCGAUCCGCUGUGGUUUGAAGGAAGUAAUCAAUCUUCAGUUUCUGGUUGACUCAUGGUGGAUGAUGUAUGCCACUUGCUGGUGACGCUUAAGGCAGUAGGUGUGACUUUCUGUUUUCUUUAGUACAAGCAUCUGUGCAUAUAAGCUACCUCACCUUGCACU